rnacentral:rRNA from 1 species
GAAAGAUGGCUUUGGCUAUCACUCUGGGAUGGACCUGCGGUGCAUUAGCUAGUUGGUAAGGUAACGGCUUACCAAGGCGAUGAUGCAUAGCCGAGUUGAGAGACUGAUCGGUCACAAUGGAACUGAGACACGGUCCAUACUCCUACGGGAGGCAGCAGUAGGGAAUCUUCCACAAUGGGCGCAAGCCUGAUGGAGCAACACCGCGUGAGUGAAGAAGGGUUUCGGCUCGUAAAGCUCUGUUGUUGGAGAAGAACGUGCGUGAGAGUAACUGUUCAUGCAGUGACGGUAUCCAACCAGAAAGUCACGGCUAACUACGUGCCAGCAGCCGCGGUAAUACGUAGGUGGCAAGCGUUAUCCGGAUUUAUUGGGCGUAAAGCGAGCGCAGGCGGUUGCUUAGGUCUGAUGUGAAAGCCUUCGGCUUAACCGAAGAAGUGCAUCGGAAACCGGGCGACUUGAGUGCAGAAGAGGACAGUGGAACUCCAUGUGUAGCGGUGGAAUGCGUAGAUAUAUGGAAGAACACCAGUGGCGAAGGCGGCUGUCUGGUCUGCAACUGACGCUGAGGCUCGAAAGCAUGGGUAGCGAACAGGAUUAGAUACCCUGGUAGUCCAUGCCGUAAACGAUGAGUGCUAGGUGUUGGAGGGUUUCCGCCCUUCA